AACGAACACUGGCGGCGUGCUUAACACAUGCAAGUCGAACGGUAAGGCCCUUCGGGGUACACGAGUGGCGAACGGGUGAGUAACACGUGGGUGAUCUGCCCUGCACUUCGGGAUAAGCCUGGGAAACUGGGUCUAAUACCGGAUAGGACCACUGCCUGCAUGGGUGGUGGUGGAAAGCUUUUGCGGUGUGGGAUGGGCCCGCGGCCUAUCAGCUUGUUGGUGGGGUGAUGGCCUACCAAGGCGACGACGGGUAGCCGGCCUGAGAGGGUGACCGGCCACACUGGGACUGAGAUACGGCCCAGAGUCCUACGGGAGGCAGCAGUGGGGAAUAUUGCACAAUGGGCGCAAGCCUGAUGCAGCGACGCCGCGUGAGGGAUGACGGCCUUCGGGUUGUAAACCUCUUUCAGCACCGACGAAGCGCAAGUGACGGUAGGUGCAGAAGAAGGACCGGCCAACUACGUGCCAGCCGCCGCCGUAAAAC
rnacentral:rRNA from 1 species